rnacentral:misc_RNA from 1 species
GAUGAAGAACGCAGCGAAAUGCGAUAAGUAGUGUGAAUUGCAGAAUUCAGUGAAUCAUCGAAUCUUUGAACGCACAUUGCGCCCCCUGGCAUUCCGGGGGGCAUGCCUGUCCGAGCGUCAUUUCUGCCCUCAAGCCCGGCUUGUGUGUUGGGCGUGGUCCCCCCGGUUUAGGGGGGACCUGCCCGAAAGGCAGCGGCGACGUUCCGCCUAGGUCCUCGAGCGUAUGGGGCUUUGUCACCCGCUCGGGAGGGGCCUACGGGCGUUGGCCAUCCACCAUUUAUUUUUUUUACGGUUGACCUCGGAUCAGGUAGGAGUUACCCGCUGAACUUAAGCAUAUCAAUAAGCGGAGGA